AGGAGCAAAGGGGACUCGGCCGCCAUGUUAGGAGUACUGGGACGAUUCCGCGGAGCCGGGCAGAGGUUUUAGGGGAAUGAUUAACAAAGGCGUCCGAAGAAAUCGUUGUUGGAAGGUGACCAAGGUGGAAAGAGACGUUGCUUUGGCCCUGCAAGUAAGAAGAGAGAGGGAAUAGCCUGAAGGAGUAACACUAAAUUUAAAAUGACACUUUUUUACCAACCAGCGAAAGCAGAUGUUCAAAGGGGAUAUUGGCCAGAGUCUGUCACACUAAGAUGAGAAAUGUCCUUUCUUCCUGAAGGUGUCUGAUGUGUAAAAAUAUGAUAUACUUUGUGCUGUUUCCUCCCUUCCCUUUUGCAUAUUAUUCUGAAACAACAUUAACUAGUUACUUUGCGUCAUUGAAGGUUUGGAUAAUUAAGGGAGCACUAGAAAACUUUUUUUUUUUUUUUUGAGAUGGAGUCUGUUGCCCAGGCUGGAGUACAGUGGUACGGUCUCGACUCACUGCAAUCUCCGCUCCUGGGUUCAAGUGAUUUCUCUUGCCUCAGUCUCCUGACUAGCUGGGAUUUACAGGCGCAUGCCACCAUGCCCAGCUAAUUUUUGUAUUUUUAUUAGAGACGGGUUUCAUCAUGUUGGUCAGGCUGGUCUCAAACUCCUGACCUCGUGAUCCACCCGCCUCGGCCUCCCAAAGUGCUGGGAUUACAGGUGUGAGCCACCGUGCCCAGCCGAAAAUGUUUCUUUGCAAGGAUAAAUAUAUGAAGAUAAACUUGCCGAGCGUAAAUAUGUUCAUGAAUAUAGCCACUUAAGGAAAUUCAAACAUGCAGAGAUGUUCAGCUGUAUGCAGUUAUGUAUUCAUGAAGUAUUCAUGUAUUCAUGAAGCCUUAUUUGAUGUAGAAUCUGAGGGUGCUGCCUAUACAUAAACUUGCUUAAAGGUUAAAACUUAAGGAAUGUUCAUCAAAGUCACUUUCUUACACCUAACUCCUGAUUUCAUGAAUAUAACACAUAGGUGCUUAUCAAACUGAAUACCUUGGAGAUGAGCUGCUCCAGCACCAGAAGAUAAAAUUCAGUAACUGUAAUCCUUGAGGUACCUAAGUGAUACAUUUUUUUUAAGACUGAGCCAAAAUAAAACAGCUUUCCUCCUUCCCUACCCUCUCCGACCAAACUUUUAGCCAUUUUAUUUAUUUAUUUAUUUGAGAUGGGGUCUAGCCAUGUGGAGUGCAGUGGCUAUUCACAAGCAUGAUCAUAGCAAAUGACAGCCACAGACUCCUGGGUUCGAGCAAUCCUGCCUCAGCCACUCAAGUAACUAGGACUACAGGCGUAUACUGGGGCUUCUAGCCAUUUAUAUGGUAUUAAGUGACAGCUUCUAUAGUUACUUGGUACUUGUCCCUGUAAAACUGCACAGUGUGUAUUCUCUUGGCUCAAUUAUUAGCAUAUUCUGCCAUUUCCUUGUGAAUGUUUUGUAUUUUAUAUAGGAAAACUUAAGUUUUUAAAUAUCCUGAAAUAACUGAAGAAUUUUGUUUUUGCCUUUAAGUGGUAAUGUAUAAAGUAUACUAUUGCAGAGAUACUUACAGAGUGCUUUCAUUGCAAUUAAAAUACUGCAGCUAACUAGCAUGUUCCAUAUGUGUAAUCUAAAUGACAUACUGGUCAUGUGCUAUUUCUAUGGAAUACUAACAGUAGUAUGGUACAUUUAUGCAGUCUCAACAGUUUAAAGUGUUAUUUUGGUGAUAAACUGUUUACAUUUAUUUGUUUUUAUAUUUGGCAGUCUAAAUGCAAGAGUCUCCAUUUCAGCUCUUUACUCUGCAUAUCUUUAAUGUUGGGCAUUAUGCCUCUUUCUUGAGUUUCAGUCCUAUGACUGUUCCAUUUUCAGUAUUCAUGUUUAUGUGUCUUUCUAAAAUUGUUUUGCUUCUGUUUCUUGCUGCUCUUGAGACAAUUUAUGGGCAAAUUUUGUUACUUUUCAACUGGCCGUGUAUUUCCCUGUGAAGAGUUGCUGGAUUGUCUCAUUUUCCAGAUAAACUGAAUUAAUGUAGUAGUGAGGAGAAGCCAGAUUUCAGAGGUUUGACAAGUGAACAAAUGGGAAUGAGAAAAGAAGUAGGUACUUAAACUUUUAAGAAGUUUGGCUCUGAAAAAGGCAAGAAAUAAUGGGUUAGAGAGGGCAGGAUUGUAAGGAUUUAAGAUAGGAGAAGAGGCAUAAGCAUAUUUAAAUUUCCCUACUUAAGGGCCAAAAUCAUACUGUACCUCAGUCUGAACUUUUUAAAGGAAUUCAAGGACACAAAAUUCUGCCCUGCCCUGAAAUCCAGUCAGGAGGAAGGGAGAAGAGCUCUGAAGUACUUUUGUAAUUUUCUUCUACAUAAUAAUUGAUUUUUGUUUGAUUAUUUUUCUUUCCUAUAGCUCCUGUUUGCCAGGUUUUUCAUAGCUGCCUAUUUAACCAAACUUGUACUCCCAAGAAUAGUGCAUAUUUAUGAUUCUUAAUUCCAAAAACACAUGGCAAUGAUAAUGUCUCUGCUUCUUUUGAGAAAUUAACUUGGUUCUGAAAGAUGGUGUUUGCUUUUCACACCUGUAUCAUUAAUACUUCCUUGCCAAACCUAACUAGGAUCCUCACCACCACUGUUAGAGAAAACUGAUGCUCAGUUGAACCAGAAUGUUAAAUGUGAACAGGAUUUGUCUGUGUUGUUGCCCAGCUAUGUUUAUCCAUACACAUUACCUGGAGGAAGAGAAAUCUGAGAUAAUUGAGUUGAUUAGAUUACUUACAUGAAGAUGGUUUAAUUGUAUCAAUACAGAAAAAUGCACAAGGAAAGAAACUGACACCUUAAGGCAACAAAGCCCUCCAUAAAAAGUAACCGAAUUUUGAGAGUUACGAACUAAUGUCCAUUACCUGAAGUCCUUCUCAUUCCAUUACCCAGUAACAUAAAUCAAAUUCAGUAAAUAAGCUGCUUUAUGUCUUGAGAAAUUUAACUGGCAGAAUAAAUGGAAAGAAGUCAGUAAAAAGGGAGCAGUUGAACAAGCAUGGUGUCUCACACCAAUAACCCCAGCACUUUGGGAGGCCGAGGCAGGUGAAUCACUUGAGGUCAGAAGUUCAAGACCAACCUGGCCAACAUGGUGAAAACCCAUCUCUACUAAAAAUGCAAAAAUUAGCUGGGCUUGGUGGCAGGUGCUUGUAAUCCCAGCUACUCAGGAGGCUGAGGCAGGAGAGUCACUUAAAACCCAGGAGGCAGAGGCAGUGAGCUGAGAUCGUGCCACUGUACCCCAUCCUGGGCAACAGGACGAGGCUCCAUCUCAGGGAAAAAAAAAAAGAAAAAGCUGAGCAUGGCGGCAUGUGCCUGUAGUCUUAGCUACUCAGGAGGCUGAGGCAGGAGGAUCACUUGAGCCCAGGAGUCGUAGGUUGCAGUGGUGCCAUUGUGUUCCAGCCUGGGUAAGAGUAAGGCCCUGUUUCAGUAAAAAGAAGGGAGUAACCAAGACAGGUAGGGAUUCAGUAUAAUAAAAGUCAAAAGUAGUUGUUUAUUACUAGAGCCUGGCACUGUAACCUGGUAUGUCCAAAUGUGAUUUAAUUUGCUCUCAAGAUGUGCACCAGAAGAAAUAACCCGAGGCAUUUCAAAGAAAAAACAAAAUGUGACCUGCUAGUUCUGUUACUCUGCCACAAGUUAACACAUUUUGAACUUAAGUGCAGAGUCCCAUACAUCCAGUGUGACUCCCCAAAUCUCAAAAAUUUAGGCUAAAACCUAAUUUUGUGUCCAAGCCAGUGCCUGCUUGUUCCUGCUGAAUUUAAAACUUUGGGUCCAGCAAUCUUCUAUCGCUGGAGGGAGGGAGAGGUAUGAAAAUAAUGUUUAAUGGUAAUUGUUUAUUGUCAUGGGCCCAUAUUAUACCCAGAUUUAGAGAGCUAUUUGACACACCUGUAACCUAAUGUUUAUUUUAACUUAAUAUCUGCUCAGUCAGGUAAGAGAUGCAACUUCACAGAGGUCCAUUUAACGUGCCUAAACCUAAGUAGAAACACAAAAGCUAUGUAUAGUCCCUUGUUUGAGAUAACACUAAAUUUUUAGAGAAUAGCUUGGUACUGUGGUAGACAGAGUUCACUUAAAAUGCAUUUAACAAUUUACAGAUAACUGGAAAGUAAUUCAUUCAUCUUAGAACCCUGGUAGGGACAUUCUAUUAAAAUAUUUGUGUACUAGUUAAAGUCAAAAUAGAAAUACAGCCUAUCACACGGUAUUUAUACUAUGCAUUAUGAUUAAUAAAGCCACCUAAGGUCGUUACUCCAUGAUCAUGGGAAGUUGUUAGUCAUUAAGAGUUCGGGUUUAGCAACAAAAAUCUUGCGUUUGAAUCUAAACACAUUACAUGAUUUUAAGCAUGUUCAUCAUUCUGAGAUUAAAUAAAAAUUAAGGAAAUAUAUGAAAAAUGCUUAAUAAGUACCCAAAAGGUAAUAUGGUGUAGCAACUUAGAAUGUAGACUUCAGAGCCAGUCAGCUAGGAUUAAAAUGACACUUCGGCCAAUCACUGUUGACUAUAAGCAAGUUAUUUAACUCUGCCUCAGUUUUGUCUGUGAAGUAGGGAUAAAAUCUUCCUCGCUAGGUUGCUAUAAGAAUUAAAUGGAUAUAUUAAGUACUAUCAUGUGAGAUCACUUUAUUUGAGGCUAAAAAAAUUUUUUUUAACUAGGAUUCACUGAAAAUACAUCUAUAAAAAAGCCACUCUUUAUCAUGAGAAGUAUGAUUUUCUGUACCUUAGGUGUUAUAAAGCAAUAUCCCCUCAGUUUUAACUUUACCAAAAUACCUGUCUUAGUAAAUGAUACUAUAUAUACCAAAUAUUGCAUAUGUGUAUAUAAACUUCAACUGUCUACUUCUAUCACUGACAGUUUAAAAAUUGAGAUAAAGUAAGUAUUAUCUGAGUAAUAUAACCAUUUUCUAUUUAUUUAUUUAUUUAGAAACAGUCUCACUCUGUCACCCAGGCUGGAGUGCAAUGGCUCGGUCUCAGCUCACUGCAACCUCCGCCUCCUGGAUUCAGGCAGUUCCCCCACCCCACCCUCCCGAGUAGCAGAGACGGGGUUUCACUGUGUUGGCCAGGCUGGUCUCGAACUCCUGACCUUGUGGUCUGCCCGCCUCGGCCCCCCAAAGUGCUGGGAUUACAGGCGUGAGCCACCGCACCCAGCCAAUCUAACCAUUUUCAAGAUUUGAUCUGCAAAUACCUGAAAUUUUGCACUAGCAAAGUGCACUGUUUCAGACAAUCAAGGAAAUAAAACAUUUCUUGAUGAAAUCCUACCUCGCCUCAACAGGAAACUGAAUUGGAGUCCUCAAUUCUCAGUACAUCAGAACUAGUGUGUGAAAGGAUCAGGAGAGGACCAUAGUAUUGGAGAAUAAAACAUUAUGUAUUGAUGGUUGAGCUUUAUGUCAUCGUGUAGUAAAUGCUAUGACCAUAAAGCCAUUACUGUUAACACUUAAGUUUAUCUUCUGAAAGAAGCCUAUGAAAUAUCUCCAGAAAGACUAGGGGAUUUUCUUCUGUUUGUUUGUUUGUUUGUUUGAGAUGGAGUUUGCUCUGUUGCUCAGGCUGGAGUACAGUGGUGCGAUCUCGGCUCACUGCAACCUCUGCCUCCCAGGUUCAAGUCAUUCUCCUGCCUCAGCCUCUGGAGUAGCCAGGACUACGCACUGCGCCACCACACCCAGCUAAUUUUGUAUUUUUGGUGCAGACAGGGUUUCCCCAUGUUGGCCAGGCUGGUCUUGAACUCCUGGCCUCAAGUGAUCCGCCCACCUCGGCCCAAAGUGCUGGCCACCGCGCCCAGUCAGACUUGUUUUUUAGUGAAAUAAAUUGUUUUCCUUUAGGACCUUAUUCUUUAUGAUAACAGAUUCCAAGAAUAUGCAGUCUUGUCAAUGGCUGUUUCAUCCUCAGUUUCUUUAAAAAUAAAAUACAAUUAGAACAUUUUUAGAUAUGCUAUAUCUAUCCAAUCUAUUUUCCUGUCACCCAGUAAGGUUUUCUAUCAUCAGCACAGGUCUAUGAAAGGACAGUAAAGGGUCUCCUGUUACAUACCCUAGCACUAAUGUUUGUAAUAGAAUGUUAAGAUAAGUUGUUUCAUGUAAUCGGACUACAUUCAGUCUUUCUCUACCCUCUGUCCUCUAUUUACCCACCUAUGCAUGUGGCCUACUAAUUAUAUUGACUGUACAUGACCAGCAAGUUGUAAGUUCUUUUAAAAGCAGGAGCUCAACCAUAUUUGUAUUCACAUUUCCUUCUGCUUAAAACAGGGCUCUUGUUUCUUCAGUAAAUAUUCAUUCGGUAUCCACUAGGUGUCAGAUAAUAUACAAGGUAGGUUCUAGGGAUUCCAAGAUAAAUAAACACAGAUAUGCCAAUAUGAGUCUGACAGUUUUGGCGGGGAGAGGUGGAAAAUAGAUCUGCAAGCCAAAAAAGCUACAGUAGAAUAAUAUAAAUAUUGUAAUGGCAAUAAAAUACCAGAACUAUUAAUUUUACAUUUAGUAAUCAUUCAGUAUCAAUUAAAUGGGUAAAAUGGAUAUGUUGGCAUGAAUGACAUAUAACUGAAAAAACACUAAGAACUGUAUAGAAACUGAAUUAGACAUAUGAGUAAUAUUAGUAGGAAGGGGAGAGAAUAUUUGAUUCCAGGUAGGCUACCAAGCAGGAUGUUUUUUCAGCACAGCCUUGGAAUAAAAUCUGUAACCUUUGAAAACAAUCACAUUUUUGUUCUUAUGCAAUCUUUGUUUUUAAAUGUAUUUAUUGUUUUGGCUCUAGUCCCUGAAUGUUAAAAUUUUAGUGUCAGUGUUAAUUCUCACUUAUCUUCUCCAGACCUUACUCCCUAAUUUUCUCAUUUUCAUUUGCCCCAAUAAGUGCCAACCUUACCUUGAAUAGAAUAGUGGAUUUAUCAGCUUACAAGGACUAAAAAGUCGUCAUUUCCAAAAACAUCUGUCCAAUAAGUCUGCCUCAGUGACUACAUUUCUAGCAUUACAAUGUCAUUCUUAGUACACUGAUUUGAUCUUUACAAAUUACAUAAAUGUAUAAAAUUGUCGCAUGUACCCUAAAUUAUAUACAUCUAUUAUGUAUGUAUCAAUAAAAAAAUAAUUUUCUGUGCUUUUUCUCCUGUUAAAAAGAAUUCUUUUCUUUUUGAGACAGGGCCUGGCUCUGUCACCCAGGCUGGAGUGCAGUGGUGCAAUCUUGGCUCACUGCAGCCCCUGCCUCCCAGGCUGAAGUGAUCCUCCCACCUCAGCCUCCUGAGUAGUUGGGACUACAGAUGGGUACCACCAUGCCUGGCUAAGUUUUUGUAGAGACAGGGUUUUGCCAUGUUGUCCAGGCUGGUCUCAAACUCCUGAGCUCCAGCAGUCUUCCUGGCUUGGCUUCCCAAAGCGCUGGGAUUACAGGUGUGAGCCACCACACCCAGCUGAUUCUUUAGAAGACCAGUAUUGCAUUGUGAUUGCCUCUGGGCAGGAAAACUAAGGGGCAUCAGUAGACUAUGCAAUUACUUUCUUCCUCUUUAAAAAAGUAUUGUUAAUUUUUAAAUUUACAUAUUUUGGUAUACAAUUCUAUGAGUUUUGACAAAUGCAAAGAAUCAUAUAACCACCGCCAUAAUUGAGAUACUAAACAAUUCUAUCACCUCAAAAAAAAUCCUCUUGAGCUGUCUCAUUUAUAAUUUUUGUGAUUAAAAAUGGUUAUUUUUCAAAAAGUAACGUUUGGGCCAGUGCGCCUGGAGUGCACCAGUAGUCCCAGCUACUAGGGAGGCUGAGGCAGGAGAAUUGCUUGAACCCGGGAGGUGGCGAUUGCAAUCAGCUGAGAUCACACCACUGCACUCCACCCUGUGAGUGGGCUACAGAGUGACACUCUGUCUAAAAACAAAAACAAAAAAACACUUUAAAUGUUUCAUAUAGUUAUUCCUUAUUCAAAAAGUAUGCCUUUUUGGGUUAAGACAGUGCCAUUUCAAAUAGCCUUGUAGAAAUAUAAGCAAGGAAAUGCUAAAUUAUACCAUUAUUGAUCAUUAGUACCUUAGCUUGUAGUUUAAACUGUUGAAGAGAAUUAGGACUCCACCUGGCAUUGUGGCAUAAGCCAGUAGUCCCAGCUACCCAGGAGGCUGAGGCCUGAGCUCAGGAGUUCAAGACUAGACUGAGCACAUAGCGAGAUCUUGUCUCAAAAAAUGAAAGAAAAAGAAUUAGGACUCAGAAAAGGUAAAGGGUGUGUGUGUUUGAUUAGAUAGAGGAUGGGAUUGAAGGCUUAAGGAGGAGAUUAGGGCCUGAGAUGGAACAAUGCGCAUGGAAGGAUAGAUAUGGGUAGUGUGUUCUGAGUAAUAUAAGAGACCUAGAUUCUCAAAGAUAGAGGGCACCAAAGAGAUGAGUCCUGUAGAGGGGUGACCUUCAUGUAAAAAAUGAUCUAUCUUAAUUGGGAGCUACAGACCUGGGAUUCUGUACUGAACUUAUACAGAAUAAGUAAUUUACUCUUCAAAAGUCGCUUCCCCAGCUGGGCGCAGUGGCUCAUGGCUGUAAUCCCAACACUUUGGAAGGCUGAGGCAGGUGGAUCACCUGAGGUGAAACCCCGUCUCUACUAAAAAUAAAAAAAAAGUAGCCAGGCAUGGUGGUGGGUGCCUGUAAUCCCGGCUACUCGGGAGGCUGAGGCAGGAGAAUUGCUCGAAACCAAGAGGCAGAGGUCGCAGUGAGCUGAGAUGGUGCCAUUGCACUCCAGCCUGGGCGACAAAUGCAAAAACUGCAUCUAAAGAAAAAAAAAAAAAGUCACUACGCCUUUCUGGGCCUCAAUUUCAUAAUCUGUAAAAUAGUAAGGUUGGACUGAGUAUAUACCAAGGUCCAUUUCAGAGUUCUCCAGCUAGAAGCAAAACCCUUGUGUGUAUGUGUUAGUUUUUUUCCCCUAAGGUUUUGUCCUCUAGUUUUAACUAGAGAGACACAUUUGGGAUAUUAAUAACCGAAUUCUAGCAAGCAUUAUGAUCUCUUCAGAUUUCAUGUAGUUUGAUGUCAGAAGCUGCAUAGCAAAGUUAAGCCUGAUCUGAAUUGGCUUCAAGUGGAUAGAGCUGUAUGACCCUCAGUCUUCUCAUGUAUAGAAUGACUUAUAUACUCUAAACUUCCUUGUAGUUUUCAUAUUUCAUGACUAUGAAACCUGUGAAAACUUACCAGUGUUUUUUCUAUUCAUACUUCCUUUGAGUCUGCAGCUGCUGUUCUUCUGAUUUGAUUUUUUUGUUGUUUAUUUUUAUUAGCCACUAUUCAUUCAGUACCUUUUAUAUGUCAAAACGUUUGAUAUUUAACCUACGUUAUUUAAGGGCUUUUGUACUGCUGCUGUACUUUAUAGGUGCAUAGAUAUGGUAAAAUCACACCAUGCCUCCUGCUCUGACUCUGGAUAACAUAUUCCUACAGCAGGAUCUCAUUUCAAUAAAAAUUAAAAGAAACACUAGAGAGAGGAAGAAGGGGAGAAGAUAAAUGUGGCUUUAAAUUGAUAAGUGAAAGGCAAGGAACUAACAUUUGAGGAUCUACUAUGUGUUAGACACUUUAUAACAUGGAUCUUCUUUAGAUCAUUGAGAUAAGCAGGUAGAAAGACAUCACAAAGGGAGUCUGCUUGUAUUGAUAGCAAGAAGAAAAAAAUGACUUCAUGCCAUAAAUCACUGGAAUUAUUCAGAAUUUUUGUUUUGCAUGUUAUCCUCCAUUAUGAGGACAAAGACAGCAUAAUGUCUCUAUGUAGUAAGUGUUUGGUGAAUGUUUAUUGAAUAAGUAGGGAUUUUUAUCAUGCAUAUAGUAGUGUUUCUUAAUGUUUUGGAUCCAUGGACUUAUAAAAAUUUUAUAAAAGCUAUGGCUACAUCCAGGAUGUUACCUCCCUCCCCUGCCACACACAAAAGGAAACAGCCAAGUCCCUCCCCUCACUCUAACCAUUCCCACAUCUAUAUUUGUGUAAAACCCAUGAUUUUAAACUGUUUGCAGCCCCUCUGUAAUCCAUUCACAUGACCCAAGAACUCAGCCCUGGAAACAUCUCUGGGUAUCCAGGUAGACUAAAAGCAUAGUUCCAUUAAUUUAUAGUGCUAUAUGGUUCUGCCAUGCUUUAUUGGUCCUUUAUAGACUUGAGAAAAUCACACCAUGCCUCUUGACCAUUAACAAAUGGUCAUGUUCAGUCUUCCUUUUUAUGAGUGGAAAUUCCAUCCAAUUUGCUUUUAGGUUCAUUAAUAUGUACUACAACCAAAAGAUCAGCAGCAUUAUAUACUUUAUCUUUUUUAGUCUUUUGAAGUACAAAUUAUGCGAUUUUACAGAUAAAUUAUCUCAUGGGUAGCAUAUGUCUGGCUUUCUAGGUGGAAUGAUUCCUAUUUCUUUUUGUACCUCUCCCCAUUCAGAACUCACUUUGAGGCCAAGCGUGGUUGCUCAGGCCUGUAAUCCCAGCACUUUGGGAGGCCGAGGCAGGUGGAUCACCUGAGGUCAGGAGUUGGAGACCAGCCUGGCCAACACGACAAACCCCGUCUCUACUAAAAAUACAAAAAUUAGCCUGGCAUGGUGGCACACACCUGUAAUUCCAGCUGCUCGGGAGGCUGAAGCAUGAGAAUCACUUGAACCUGGGAGGCAGAGGUUGCAGUGAGCCAAGGUUGCAGUGGAUCAAGAUCACACCACUGCACUCCAGCCUGGGCAAUAGAGUGAGACUCUGUCUCAAGAAGAAGAAAAAGAAAAAAAACUCACUUUAAACUCUGCUAGACCAUUGCCCUUGUAUGUGAAAUUUUAUCUGGAUAGAAGAAGAUGAGGAAAAAAAUUUUCUUGUCUUUUAGUGGAGGAGAAUGACAUGUAAAACAAGUAUUCUUUAAAAAUUCCAAAUAUGAUAUGAGAACUACCCCAUAAAGUUGUGAAGGUCACAUUGGUGAAAGGAAAACUAAGUGCUGUGUAAAUUACAAAGUUGUCUAAGUAUCCACCUGGUCCUUACCUUGCUAUAGAAUCUUUUUUUUUUUUAGACGGAGUCUAGCUCUGUCGCCCAGGCUGGAGUGCAGUGGCGCAAGCUCCGCUUACUGCAAGCUCCGCCUCCUGGGUUCAUGCCAUUCUCCUGCCUCAACCGCCCGAGUAGCUGGGAUUACAGGUGCCCACCACCACGCCCAGCUAAUUUUUUUUUUUUUUUUGUAUUUUUAGUAGAGACGGGGUUUUCCCAUGUUAGCCAGGAUGGUCUUGAUCUCCUGACCUCGUGAUCUGCCCACCUCGGCCUCCCAAGGUGCUGGGAUUACAGGUGUGAGCCACCACGCCCAGCCUACCUUGCUAUAGAAUCUUUAGGCCUAAUAUAGUCUAGCCAGAACAGCUAUUUGGAUGCUUGCCUAAUCUUCAAUACUGGUUUCCCUUUUAUACAUGACUGCAAAACUGACUCUCACCUAGGUUUGUGAUGUUAGAAACUCCAGUUGUUUACUAUUAUUAUUAAAGUGGGAAACGGAGUUCGUUGAUCAAAUGGAUUAAUGUUUUGAGUACUUACUAUACACCAGGGGCUCUUAAAUUUUUACAUAAACUUUCUGGAUGGAGAGUGAUAGAAUCUCCAUUGUUCACUUGCCACAAGCCACACCAUUUGUAGCUAACAUUUGAAUGCUUACUAUGAGCAAAGGCACUGUUCCAAGGGCAUUACAUGCACAUCAUUCAUAUUUCUCAUUUAAUCUUUAUAACAACUCCUUAAAAUACUGGUAGUAUUCUUGUUCCCUAAUUUGUCAAUAAGAAAACUGAAAUUUAGAGAUUAUACAAUUUGCCCAGCACUAUUGGAAAGCUGGGACUUUGAAACCUGGCUGAUUUGACUCCAAAGUCUGCACUCUAUUCCAACAGACUGCCAGUGCCUCCAGAAUUAAUUAGCAUUAAUAUUUUCUGUUGUUUAUGAUCUAAGUAUGGCUGUCCAUGGCAGGGAGUUAAUGAGGGAGGCAUUAAUGGGGAAACACUGGACCACUUCUGAGAGAUGUGGUGCCCUCCCUCACAAACAGGUUUCUUGUGGUGAAAUCAGGUUGGAAGGAUAAGAGAGGCUGAAGAAGGUGGAGGUGGUGUAGUUGGGCCUGUUUAGGAACUGAUUACAUCUGAGCCUCUGGCCCUUUUUCCUGCCAGCUGACUCAGAGCUGGCAGAUGGGCCAAAGUCCAGGCAGGUUGAUUUCAUGGGCUGUAUACUUCAAAGGAUCUGAUUCCUGGUGCUACUAAGCACAUUGCUUUUCCGAAGGCACAGUCUUGUGGGGGAGGGAACAGGAUGGUCUCCAUGAGGUGUUUGUGAAAGCCCUAGGCAAUGUUUGCUCUAAUCCAAAUAUAUACAGCUUGUUUUGAGUUUGGCAAUAAAACACAGAGCCAGCCCUAAGCAGGGCUGAAAACUGAGUAUUUAAACCUUAAGUAUUCUGCAAUACAACAACAGUUAAGUAUAUGGGUCCUAGAGUCAGAUAGAACUGAAAUCUAAUCUUGACUUCACCACUCAGCUGUAGAUAAAUUACUAGACCUCAGUUUUCUUGUUCGUGAAAUGGGGAUUUUAGUUAUAGAGUACCUACUUCAUAUGGUUGUCGUGAGGAUUAAACAAAAAUGUAUACCACAGUACCUGAGAUGUAGUAAACACUCUUGAAACAUUAGUCAUUAUUCAUUUUUUAAAUUUUUCCUUCAAAUACUUUCCUAUCCAAUAGUCAUUAUUCAUUGAAAACUUCUAUUUUAUAAGACGAUCUCAGCACUUAAACAAAAUAAAUUGAUUCAUCAUGUUUUCACUUAACAGGCAUUCAAAAGGCAUUUAUUAUUGUGUUGGGUAGAUGGAUGGAGAAAAUAGCAAUAAUUUUUGUUGAACACCUAAAAUGAGCCAAACUUUUUAAAAAAUAUUGUCUCAUUUUAUGCUCACAACAGCUCUAUGAAGUAUUUUCCUAUAUUAUAGAUGAGAUCAUGGGCCAAGAGAGGAUUAGCAACAUGCCUAAGAUCAUAUAGUCAGCACUGUCUAAUUCUGAAGCCUAUGAAUAAGGUAGCAUUUAUCCCCACGGAAGCAUGGUAUUCAGCAGGCAGGCAGACACAUAAACAAGUACAGCUGGCCCAUCUAGCCUCACGUUCUGCAUCCAUGGAUUCAACCAAAAAUGGAUUUAAAAUAUUGGGGAAAAAACAAAUAAUAAAACAACUAAAAAAUACAAAUUUUAAAAUAUAGUAUAACAACUACUUACAUAGCUUUUACAUUGUAUUAGGUAUUAUAAGUAAUGUAGAGAUGGUUUAAAGUAUACAAGAGAGUCUGGACACAGUGGCUUAUGCCUGUAAUCCCAGCUUUUUGGGAGGCCAAGGUGGGUGGAUCCCUUGAGCCCAGGAGUUUGAGACCAGCCUGAGCAACAAGAUGAAACCCUGUCUCUACAAAAAAUACAAAAAUUAGCCAGAUGUGUUGGUGCAUGCCUGUGGUCCCAGCUACUCGGGAGAGUGAGGUGGGAGAAUCACUUGAGCCUCAGAGAUCGAGGCUGCAGUAAGCUGUAAUCACGCCACUGCACUCCAGCCUGGGUGACAGAGUAAGACCCUGUCUCAAAAGUAAUAAUAAUAAUAAAGUAUACAAGAGGAUGUCAUAUGUUAUAUGCAAAUAUUAUACCUUUUUUUUUUUUUUUUUUUGAGACAGUCUCUUGCUCUGUUGCCCAGGCUGGAGUAGAGUGGUGCUAUCAUAGCUGACUGUAACCUCGAACUCUUUCCUGAACUUGAGUGAUCUUCCUGCUUCAGCCUCCCAAGUAGCUGAGACUACAGGCAUGUGCCAUCACAUCCAGCUAAUUUUUAAUUUUUAAUUUUUUUUGUAGAGAUGGGGUCUCACUGUGGUGCCCAGGCUGUUAUGCCAUUUUAUAUAAGGGACUUGAACAUCUGCAGAUUUCAAGGGGAAAGAGUUUGAGGUUACAGUCAGCUAUGAUAGCACCACUCUACUCCAGCCUGGGCAACAGAGCCAGAGACUGUCUCAAAAAAAAAAAAAAAAAGAGGAGAGUCCUGGAACCAACUCCCCACAGUUAUGGAGGAAGGACUGUACCUACAGUCAAAGUGCUGUCGUUGAGUUUUACACUAGGUGCUUGGGAGAACAGAAUGGAAUAGGUGAACUCUGGGCAUGAAGUGAAGGUAGUCCCCUUCACAGGAAUAAAUGCUAAUAAUGGGGCUUCAGGUGAGAAUGAGGAAGGAAGCCUUUGCUGGUGGAGGAGUUAAGGGAGUUCUUUCUGGGUUUCCCUAAGUCACACUAGAAGAAAAGGGUUACAGGGAGGCCUUUCUGGAAUUCCUCAAGUCAAUAUGACAGCCUCUUAGAUCCAGCAUUACAACUGCAGCAAAUUUUAUAGCUGCAAACAAAGAAACUGUCUCCAGAGAGACAGAUUAUGUUGUUUACUUGAGGCAAAAUGGUGGGGGUUCUAUAUAAAUGAUAUGUCUGCAUCCGAAUCAUCUGUACCUUUUUGGGCUUUAGAACCAAACCUAAUAGUAAUAAUAGCAACCAAUUCUUAACUGCAUGAUCAUUAGGUACUAAUCACUGCUAUGUUCACAGGCUAGAACUCUCAACUGGAGAAAGGUAGAGUUGUUUGUCUAAAUCAAUAAUCUCAAAUUAAGUACACUUAAUUUGAGCAUAUACCCCCAAUAUAUGUAUAUUACUUUAUAAGUUAUACACAUCCACUAUUGGGCUAAUAUAAAAUAUACAUUAUGAAAUGUAAACAAAAAGUUUGAAGGAAUACAAUGAAAAUGAAUAAACUUUUAUCUCAGGGAAAAUAUAUACUUAGGUUUCUGUAUCUUGUUAUUAAGUGGAUACAAAUUAAUACUGUAUUUCAAAUAGAUUUUUUAAUAGUUUUGGAUGUUUUGAGUCAGCUGGUCAGAUUUUGUUAAUCAUUGUAUUUAACUUCAUAAUGUGACUGAUGAAGGGAUCAUACUAAGUAAAAGUGUCAGUUCUGCCAUUUGAGAGUGGGGGAUCCUAUGUAUCAUCUUCAAUUCACAGGGUUUUCUUUUUCCCAGCAAUUUUUUAAAACCAAUUAUUCACUUUGUAAUAUUUCAUUUUGUUAAAGUUAGAUUUUAAAAAUCCAUAAAUCCCCUUUUGAACCACAAUAUGUCACUAAUGCUCAAAGAAAGAAACUCCAUUUGUAUCUCAUCUGAUGUGAGCGUCAAAUAUAGAAACAAUGUGGGGAUGCCAACCUCAAUCCAUAUGGAUGAAUAGGGCUUAAUUUUCUCAUGAUAAACCUAAGUAGAAGCUAUGAAAAUUCUUACCACACUUCAGUGAAUUAUCUUGUAUACCUCUAGAGUGAGCACAUUCCACUUUGGAGAUCAGUAGUCUCAGCAACAAGACCUGUGGCCAUAAAGUGGGAAUAAACAAUCCAAUUUUUAGCAAUGCUUGGCCCAGAUUCACUUAUGAGUGACAUGAGAAAGGUACAACAUGAUAUUCCAGGAAAUCAGAAGAGCUAAGUAUAUCUGAACCUUUGAGAGUAUGGCCUGUCCAUACAAAGGCAGAAUCUACAUUUGUCAAGUGCCUUCAAGAAACAUUCUACCAAGAUAUGCACCUCCACAAAAGUAAGAAAAAGAGAAAAAAAAGAUUUUAAAAUUUUAUUUUAUUUUUUUGAGAUGGAGUCUCGCUCUGUCCCCCAGGUUGGAGUGCAGUGGCGCUAUCUCAGCUCACUGCAAGCUCCGCCUCCCAGGUUCACUCCAUUCUCCUGCCUCAGCCUCCCAAGUAGCUGGGACUACAGGCGCCCACCACCACACCCGGCUAUUUUUUUUUUUUUGUAUUUUUAGUAGAGACGGGGUUUCACCGUGUUAGCCAGGAUGGUCUCAAUCUCCUGACCUCGUGAUCCACCCACCUUGGCCUCCCAAAGUGCUGGGAUUACAGGCGUGAGCCACCGCACCUGGCCUUUAAAAUUUUAUUUUUAAAAAAUCACACACACACAAAAUACAUUCUACUUUUUAAGAAAAUUGACUUAGAUUUAAUCCCAGCUCUGCUAUUUGCUAACCAUGCAAUUUUGGGAAAGUAACGACCUAUUGGAGCCUGUUUCCCAUCUCCAAAGUGAGAAUGAUUAAUGCUAUACCUACUUCACUGAGAAGAAGAGUGUAUCAUGGUCAUAUUGACCCCUCACUAUGUGCAUAGAGAUGCUGAGCUAAACUCUUUACAAGCGUUUAUUUAAUCCUCAAUAUACCAGUGACUAGAGGCUAAGCAGUUUACCAAAGCAUUUUCCUUUCCCUCCUUAGCACACAGGACUAUAUUUCCUGGCCUCCUUUGCAGUUAGGUGCAGCCACAUUACUGUGUUCUAGCCAUUGAAAUAUGGAAAGAAAUGAUCAAUACUACCUCCAGCCCUGGCCCAUAAAACUUUCCUUUCCAUUCUUCGUGCUCUCAUUCUUCCUUCAUCUGCCGGAGGAUUCAGCAGAACCAUUAGGUGCACAGAGCUCUUCUCUCCUCCCACUACUUCCAACGUGCAUUGAACUGUGAUGUGAGCCAGAAAUAAACUCUUAUUGUGUUAAAU
rnacentral:lncRNA from 10 species